rnacentral:rRNA from 1 species
GAGUUUGAUCAUGGCUCAGGAUGAACGCUGGCGGCGUGCUUAACACAUGCAAGUCGAACGAAGCGCCUUAUUUGAUUUUCUUCGGAACUGAAGAUUUGGUGACUGAGUGGCGGACGGGUGAGUAACGCGUGGGGUAACCUGCCCUGUACAGGGGGAGUAACAAUCAGAAAUGACUGCUAAUACCGCAUAAGACCACAGCACCGCAUGGUGCAGGGGUAAAAACGUACCGGUGGUACAGGAUGGACCCGCGUCUGAUUAGCUGGUUGGUGAGGUAACGGCUCACCAAGGCGACGAUCAGUAGCCGGCUUGAGAGAGUGAACGGCCACAUUGGGACUGAGACACGGCCCAAACUCCUACGGGAGGCAGCAGUGGGGAAUAUUGCACAAU